rnacentral:lncRNA from 1 species
AUAAAAAGCUCAGUAAUAAAUAAUGGAUGGAUAUCUGAACCCAUAAACAUUCAACGCGGAAUACGACAAGGAUGUCCGUGCAGUGCAUUAAUUUUUGUUAUUGCAGUAGAGAUAUUAGCCUGUAACAUAAGGCAAGACCAUAACAUUAAAGGCUUUGAAAUUAAGAUAGAUGGGAAAACACAUUCAUUAAAAAUCAGCCAACUUGCAGACGAUACAACACUUUUUCUAAAAUCACAAAAAGACAUUUCAAAAGUUUUAAAUAUGAUUGAAAUCUUUGGCACAUUAUCAGGGCUUAAAUUAAACAGAUCAAAAACAGAAGGCAUAUGGUUAGGAAAACACAAACAUUGUAAAGAAAAAUAUGAAAACAUCAACUUUACAA